AGACCCGAAACCCGGUGAUCUAGCCAUGGGCAGGUUGAAGGUUGGGUAACACUAACUGGAGGACCGAACCGACUAAUGUUGAAAAAUUAGCGGAUGACCUGUGGCUGGGGGUGAAAGGCCAAUCAAACCGGGAGAUAGCUGGUUCUCCCCGAAAGCUAUUUAGGUAGCGCCUCGUGAAUUCAUCUCCGGGGGUAGAGCACUGUUUCGGCUAGGGGGCCAUCCCGGCUUACCAACCCGAUGCAAACUGCGAAUACCGGAGAAUGUUAUCACGGGAGACACACGGCGGGUGCUAACGUCCGUCGUGAAGAGGGAAACAACCCAGACCGCCAGCUAAGGUCCCAAAGUCAUGGUUAAGUGGGAAACGAUGUGGGAAGGCCCAGACAGCCAGGAUGUUGGCUUAGAAGCAGCCAUCAUUUAAAGAAAGCGUAAUAGCUCACUGGUCGAGUCGGCCUGCGCGGAAGAUGUAACGGGGCUAAACCAUGCACCGAAGCUGCGGCAGCGACACUAUGUGUUGUUGGGUAGGGGAGCGUUCUGUAAGCCUGUGAAGGUGGCCUGUGAGGGUUGCUGGAGGUAUCAGAAGUGCGAAUGCUGACAUAAGUAACGAUAAAGCGGGUGAAAAGCCCGCUCGCCGGAAGACCAAGGGUUCCUGUCCAACGUUAAUCGGGGCAGGGUGAGUCGACCCCUAAGGCGAGGCCGAAAGGCGUAGUCGAUGGGAAACGGGUUAAUAUUCCCGUACUUGGUGUUACUGCGAAGGGGGGACGGAGAAGGCUAUGUUGGCCGGGCGACGGUU
rnacentral:rRNA from 3 species